UUUUUUUUUUUUUUGGUCUUUUGCCAUUUCUUGGGCCUCUCUGGCAGCAUAUGGAGGUUCCUAGGCUAGGGGUCCAAUCGGAGCCAUAGCCACCGGCCUAUACCACAGCCACAGCAACACAGGAUCCAAGCCAUAUCUGUGACCUAUGCCACAGCUCACGGCAACGCCAGAUCCUUAACCCACUGAGCAAGGCCAGGGAUUGAACCCGCAACCUCAUGGUUCCUAGUCGGAUUUGUUAACCACUGAGCCAUGACAGGGACUCCAGGCCAUACUUUUUUCUCUGGAUCGCAAUAGUGACCCGGUCCUGCUGCCUGAAGUCACACUGGGCCCCCACAUUCUGGACGUACGCGCGAGGGACACCCAUGCUGGAGGUCUGCUAUGACAGUGGUGGCCUGCCAUCAUCACCAAACCCGAGUGUGAGGUGGGUGUCAUCGGUACGUCUAGGAGUUUGGUCUCCAUCAUGACAACCAACAUCCUUCACCUCUUCAAGGUUGGUGCCCGGCCGGGUAGCCCCAGAGGUUUCUUCCAACAACAGCCCCGCCCUCCACACCCAGGGUGCCGGCCUACCCAGCUCCUUUGUCCUCUUCUCCCAAUUCUGUGGGAGAGACUGCGCCCCCCCAUGCCCAGCAGUGGGUAUUUGGGGCUAAUCUAAGGUCAGAGGGGUGCUGACCAGGAUGCUGAGUAGCUCCUAGAUGAACUCUGCUCCUCUGGGGGGAAUUCUUAAGCAGGAGUGGAAGAGAAAAUGCUGGUGAACAGCAGAAGGGAGGAGGAGACAGGCAGACAGAUAUAUAAGAAACCCAGACAGAUAGAUGGGUAGAAAUCUAGGUAAAUACAAAGGUAGACGGGUUAGAUGAUAGAUGUAGAAUGGAAACGUCCAUGUUGGAGAUGGCCAGGGAGAAAAAAGCAAGACUUGUUGACAUUAUUUUCAAAUAAUUGCAAUUCCCAAGAAAGAUAGAUUCUUUCUCAUUUCUGGGUAGUUGAGAAAGCCCUGUGUGGCCCUCCUGCUCCACCUCAAGAUUAUAGUUAGAAAAUGUGUUCUGAUUUUUUUUGGGAUGAGGCAUUGGCUACGGAGCCCACAGGGGAGAUGAGGAUGGAAAAAGUCUGGAGGGGGCAGAGGGUCCCUGUUUCUGGUACCCCUGGCCUUGAACCCAGCUUCUCUGGCUCAUCUCCCUCCUUUUGCUCCUAUUCCUUGCAUGCCUUUCUUCCUUUGCUUCUGGAACCCUGUCCCCUGUUUGCUGCCUCUUUUUCUCUCUUCCUGGAACUUGAGAUGCUAAUUUGCAACUCAGCUAGAGCCUUGUGCUGCACCAAAGAGUUGGUGUAAGGCAGGGAGAGAGAGGAAGAGAGUAGGGUGAGGGAGGAGGAAGGCUCACACAGAGGGAGCCUCUGAGUCCCUCUGGGCCUGGAGAUGGCCCUCCACCUCCUUUAAAGUCUUCAGAGUCAGGAAGUGGACAGGGAGAGGCUGUUUGGCGUCAUGCAGGGUGGGAAGUGCUGAGGCUGGAGGCCUCUCUCUGGACCCCUUCUGGAACCCAUUUGCCCAAUCCCAGGAUGCAUCAGUACUUGGCAUUUCUGGGAGCUGGGGUGGAAGUGAGAUGAGUGGUGUGAUCGUCCCUGUGUGGCUGCGGAGGUAGGUGGGAAAGAAAGGUGGUCCUGUCAUGGCAGGGGCGGAGUUGGCACUCUGCCAGGGGCUGGCCUGGGCCACAGGAUCCUGUGUGGUUCUUGCCUUUGGGCCUUCCUCCUGGAGUGUUGGUCUUGCUUGAUGAUCUGGAUGAAAUCACUAUUUUAAUUUUAAAACAAAUGGCUGCAUUAGGAAGGAUGCAAAAUCAUGAUGAAGCAGGAGACUUGAAGGAAACUUUGCUUUUGCAGUGGACAUUUUGAACAAUUCCUGGGAGCUGUGUGGCUCAUGGACAUUUGUUGGUGGGAUGGCUGGGGAAUGGGUAGCCUGGUCCAGUCUGUCUGAAACUGAAACCACACACAGUUUGGUGGUGAAAUGGGACCUGAACCCAGAUGAGACUUGAACCCAGACAGAACUCAGACUGGGACUCAGACCCACUGUCUUUUAAUGAAAAUUACUCACCUGGCAUCAGGAUUUACUAAAGUUCAGGGUCUUUAUGUUUUUGCACAGAAGGAAUUCAGCAAGAGGCAAAGCAAUGUUAAAAAGUAGAUUUGUUGAGAGAGAUACACAGUUCAUAGACAGAAUGUGGUCCGUCUCAGAAGGUGAGAGGAGCCCUGAAAUAUGGAUUGGUUAGUUUUUAUGGGCUAAUUUCACAGGCUAACAAGUGGGAGGAUUAUCCCAACUAUUUUGGAUAAGGGGGAUGGAUUUCAGGAACUGGGCCUCUGCCUGCUUUUUGGCCUUUUAUGACAGUUCAGCCUCAGAACUGUCACGACGCCCGUGGGUAUAUUAUUUAGCUAUUGCAUCACAGUGAGUGUCAAGCAAGGCUUCGGGUGCACCGGAAGUCCAAUCUUCCGCCAUCUUGGCUCUAAUUGGUUCUGACUAGUUUUUGUCCUGUUUUUCAAUGGCUCUCUCAUUAUCUUAAAGGUUUGGCCCUGUCCCUUCCCUCCUGUCUCACCUCCAUCUGCCCACUUUUGCAGUGAGUGGAGACCCAGAGGGGAGGGGAGCAGGGCUCUGAGAUCCCAGGCCUGGGCCUAGGGAAGGCAGCCCAGGGCUAGCUAAGUCAUCACAGCCUGCCCAUCCUACACUUGGGAGGUGAGGUGACUUGGGCUUUCCAGCAGAGGGGACAAACCCCAGACUCCUCAUCCGCCUGUCUGGGUGGAGCACAGACCUCUAGCCUCUGAGAAGCCUAGACCAUGGAUGGGGCUGCUACAGUGUCCUUAUCUAAGGUGACUCUGGGUGUUUUAAAAGAUGGUAAAACAGGGAGUUCCCGUCAUGGCUCAGCAGACAAGAAUCUGACUAGUAUCCAUGAGGACACAGGUUCAAUUCCUGGCCUCACUCAGUGGGUUAAUGAUCCAGCCUUGCCGUGAGCUGUGGUGUAGGUCACAGACUUGGCUUGGAUCUGGCAUUGCUGUGGCUGUGGCAAAGGCUGGCAGCUCAGCACCAAUUUAGCCCUUAGCCUGGGAACCUCCAUGUGCUGCGGGUGUGGCCCUAAAAAAAAAAGAAAAAUGGUAAAACCUUAUCAGGACCUUGAGGCUAUGACACUGGUGAAGGUGGGAGCCAGUAGAUCAAAGUUGCUGACGGUAUCACUGGGAACAUGGUAGAAGCUCCAGGAAAGGUCACUGUCAGCAUUAAUCCUUAAAGCAUGGUCUCAGAUACACAACUGAGGCGCACAGUGUCCACGCGGGUGUGGGCUGUGCCUUCUGUGCUGACCUCUCCUAGGGUGGGGAAGGGCUCCUUCUCCAGCUAGAGACCAGGGGAAGGUGGUGUGGGGACACUGGGGCCAAAGGCCUCACCAGCCUAGGCACUCACAGGUGUUCCUUUUUGUGUGCCUUUCUGGUCACACAUGGAUGUGGCCGUGGCCUUGGUUUUGUCUGUGCCUCCUCGGGUUACAGGGACAUGAGUGGGUUGGGGCAGGAGGUCAGGAGUGCCCCAGGCUGCACAGAGAGUCAGAUGGGACAGACAGGGGCACAGAGGGGGCAUGCUGGGCAAGGAAGGGGGGAAGGCAGGAGAGGCAGAGGAGACAGCUGGCCAUGGCCUGAAGUCCCUGGGCCCCUUUUAACACAUUCAUGGCGACAAGAGAACUCCUCAGUAAUGAAACUGAUAGAAAUGAGAUGCUGGGUGAGAAACUUAAAAGCCAUUUACAGAGGUAAAAAGGCUGAACCUUGGAGAAGGAGGUCAGGAGCAGGAGCCUUAGGCAGGAGAGGAUGAGAGAGGGGGGAUUGGGGUGGAGGGGGCAGCUGCACGUCAGGUGUCUGUUUCGAAGGGCACUAUUGCACCCCCACUCCUGCCAAGGCUGUGAGUGGGGCCUGCUGGGAACCUCCCCCAGAGGCUGUGAUUCCAGCUCCCGCUCCUCCAGAAGGUAGAUUUCCUGUGCCCAGCUCAGAGAGAAGCUCUGGGUUUGGGGGCACUAGGAGUGAUUGAGAAUGCUAAUGGGGUUCAGCCAAGGCCAGGGUAUGAGCAAAACUCACAACUGCCAGAGCUGGGAGGGGCCAACUCCCUGUCCUACAGAUGUGGAAACUUGAGCCCUGAUUUAGGGAUGGGCCAGGGGUGGGAACCAGGUCCCUGCUCUGAGACCUGACUCCUUCCAGACUGCUGUGCAAAUAAACUGGAAGUGGGGCUCGAACCCAGGCCUCCAUUAGGGAUCAGAAGCCCUGACUUUGGGAACUCAUGGGUCUGAUAGCUUAUGUCCCUUGCUCCCCUGUUCCCAGUCCCUCUUUCAUCUUCAUUUUGGCUCCAUUCUCCUCGGACAGGGAAUACUGAUGAAGGUAAAGAAUACUUUUGGGAGGAGGUCCUAACCCACAGGCUGUGGACGGUACCAUACUAUGUUGUAGGGACAGGUCAGUUGCUGAAGCCAGGCAGGUCUGGGUUUGACUCUGCUCCAGCAGUUACCUCACCAUACUCACUGGACUUACUCACCGUGCCAGUCAUUUACACCGUAGUAUGAAUGAGUCAAUAAGGUCUUUUCCUGAGAGCAGCCACUGCUGGGGGAGAAAGAACCUACCAAGUACCCUGGAAGGAAGCUGUUGUAAAAUCCUUGACCUAUAAGAGCUCAGGAGGAUCCAGAAAUCUUCAUUGAGCCCCUCAUCCAUUUUACAGUGGAGGCUCAAAGAAGGGGCGAUUGUGUAGCAUGGUGGUUAAGAAUUUCGACACUGGAGCUAGACAGCUUUUACCACCUUGGCAAAUUGCUUAGCUUGGUUUCCUCAUUUUAUAAAAUGGGGAUGAUAGUUGGUCUCAUAGGCCAGGUGUGGGAAUUAAGGGUUAAUGUUUAGAGAAGGCCUAGCAUGGUGCCUGACACACAGUCAGUCCACAGGAGAUGUCAUGGCCUACCUUGUAGCCAGGCCUUAAGUCAGCAUGAGAGACUCUGUCAAUGAGAAGAGGCUGGAAGAGUGGGCAGUGACAGAUGGUGACCUUUGAGGCUGAUCCUGGAGAGGCCCCGCCAUCUGCUGGGCCUUGUGUAUCUUCCUGCUGAGCUGAGACUGAGCAGUCAACUUCACUCAUGGAAAAUGAGUUUUCUCACUGUCACAAUCCUGGGGCUUGAGAACUGGGAGUCGGGGAAGUGGAGGGAGGGCAGGACGGGGCAGGCAGGAGAGAGAGGAUGGAGGGGAGGCCAGCCAGUGGGUGGCCGGGCAGGUGCCCCAGCUUCACAGGAGAGGCCCUACUAGGGACCCUGGUGAGCGACCUUGGCCCUCUGUGCACCACCACAGCCUAACCCUGUAGGUGCUUGUGCCACCUGGGGCUGUAAGUGCUGUGUUUGUGGCUGCUUCUAGAGAAGCUGCCUGCCUGACCCUUAGCACCUCGCCCAGGGCUCCUGGGGAAACUUUGCGGCUCAGCUGAUACUAGACAUUCUGUUGAGGAGGUGGCUUUUGCGUCUUCAAAGUGUUUUCUCAGCACAGUCAGGAGGAACUUUCCAGAAGGUCCACCCACUGUCCCACAGCCUGCCUGUCCUCCUUGAUGACAGCGCCAUCCUUCCAGUGUCCAGGCCAAAAAACUUGGUGGCAUUUUUGACCUCCCUGCACCACUGUCAAGCAAGCCCUGCAGCUCUGCUUUAGAAUACUUCCCAGAGACUCCUCACCCUACCCCGGAGCUCUCUCACCAGAUCGUGCAGAAGCCUUGCUCUUCUCUCUGUUUCCAAACGGGUCUUUCCACAACCAGUCCUUUGCUCAGUGGCCAGAGUGAUCAUCCUAAAAGCCAUAUCAAAUCUACUCACCCACCCUGCUUAAACUUUUUAUCGACUUUGCAUUGCUCUUAGAUUAAAAUACAAACUUCCAGGAGUUCCUGUUGUGGCUCAGUGGUUAACGAACCCAAUUAGUAUCCAUGAGGAUGCUCGUUCCAUCCCUGGCUUUGCUCAGUGGGUUAAGGAUCCAGCAUUGCCGUGAGCUGUGGUGUAGGUCGCAGACUUGGCUCAGACCCUGCUGUGGCUCUGGUAUAGGCCAGCAGCUAUAGCUCCAAUUUGACCCCUAGUCUGGGAACCUCCAUGUGCUGUGGAUGUGGCCCUACAAAUACACACACACACAAACUUCCAGACUGCUUGCCAGUCUGAGAGGCCCUGUGCUUCCUGAUGCCCUGACCACUCCCUUGUGCCUCUCCUGGGUGCAUUCCGCACCAGUCAUACUGUUGUUUUUGUGUUCCUUGAAGACCCCAUGCUAUUUUCCCAACCACAGGGGCUUUGCACCUCUGUUCCCUUUGUACGUAAUGUUCUGCCCCACUCUUUGAGGCUGAAUCCUUCUUAUUCAACCUGAAGCUUAAAUGAACUUCCUUCAGAGAAACACCCUCCCUUCUGCAGUUAUUCUAAUUCCCCAUCUUUCCCUUCAUGGCCCUUAUCACACUUUGUAGUCAUGUUCAUAUUUGUUUGUUUUUCUGUUUCUGUUGGCUUCCCUUCUGGCCUGCUGCCUGUUUUUGCAUGGUCCAUGAGUUAAGAAUGAUCUUUGUGUCUUAAAUGUUUAAAAAAAAAAAAAAAA
rnacentral:lncRNA from 1 species